AAUAAUUCAUUUAUAAGCUUGCUUUAUUGUAUUUUCCAGACAGAAUGUAUAUUGAACUUUUUUGAUAUUCUUGGUGAAAGGGUGACUUCCGGUUUGUUUUGGAUCAGUUAUUUUCUACUGUCUUAAAACAGGACCUGACAACCUCACUUCAGGAAAUCUGCUAAGGGACAUGAGACCUCUUUGUUUACUGCUUCACGAAAAUAUCUUCGCAUGGUGAGCCAUUGAAAAGGAUACAAGGGUGGAAGGAAGAAGAAGAAGCAAGACAGCUAGGAUGUGUAUUAGUUUACCACAUCCCUAUGCAAGUCUACAAGUCCAGAGGAACCUCCUUGUUGGAAAGGAACAGUGUCCUUUCCAAACAUAGCUUUUGAGGGAAGAGAGACACGCAGCUAGAAGGGACACAUUGCUAUGAGAAAAGCCGCUUCAUGCUGUGGCUAUAGGUGGCAGGAGUUUUCUGCAUGAUUUUCUGAGCUUGCUUCUAUACAUAACAGCAUCUGUUAGGAAGCAAUGAAGAUUUCGGAAACUAAUUCAUAAAAAAAAAUACAAUUGUCAAAACAAUAGGUUCUGUCUCUAAAACUUGGGACUUCUUAGCAGCUUAGGAAGAGGGGCAGAUGUGGCAAAGGUAAAGGCUGUGAUUUCAGAUUGCAAGGUCAUUGGGGCAAGGAUUUCUGACUGUCAAAUGAUGGGAAGACUAGCAUCACGCACCGGAGUCUGAAUAUGCUUUGAGCUACACAAGAAUACAAACCAAGAGCAACGAAGCAAAUUUCUUGAGAAUCUGGACCCUAGGCUUCUCAACUUGAUGGCCUUGGAAAAGAUGUGAACUAACUAUCCUCUUUAUGUCUGUCAUGGAUGGGAGAAGAAAGGUUGGAAAAUGCAGCAGAAAUAAAGUAUUUGCUCUGCUGAAGAUGGAAAAUGUAUUGCCAGGUUUUCUGUGAAAAGAACUAUGGGCUGAAAGUGGGCUGAAAGAACAACCUCAGGCACCUCAACUGGACUACGAAGGAGGGCAAAGAGAGGAGGAGGAUGUACCAUACAAACAACGCGUGUAAGGUCUCUCCUAUCCUCUCACUUUUUUCAGAAAAUGUUUCAUUCUCUUGUUCCCCUCAUUCUUUUUGUUCAGACCUUCCUGACUUAAAUGCUGCUACAGACCACGUUUGGUAUCAACAUGGUUAUGAAUGUUAUGCUCAGACAGUGGUCUUCAGGUUUGUGAAGAAGCUUUUGGUGUCUUUUCCCUUCAAGGUUAUAUAGCUAUAGUAUAUGACAAUUUGUUGGAGACUGAGAUUUUCUCUCUCUCUAACUCUCGGCCUCUUAUGUGAAAAGAAGACAGAUCCUUCUGGAUUGUGCUGAAGUCCCAGACAGCAUUGAGGUUCAGGCCAAGGAGCCUUUAAGUUGCCACAUUUUUGCUACUUUAUUUUACUUCUGUCUACUCCAAGUCCCCAGGCUGCACUUUGUUACUUUAUCCUUCCCAUUGCUGCAGUUGUU